UAGGGAAUCUUCGGCAAUGGGGGGAACCCUGACCGAGCAACGCCGCGUGAGUGAAGAAGGUUUUCGGAUCGUAAAGCUCUGUUGUUAAGGAAGAACGAGUGUGAGAAUGGAAAGUUCAUACUGUGACGGUACUUAACCAGAAAGGGACGGCUAACUACGUGUCAGCAGCCGCGGUAAUACGUAGGUCCCGAGCGUUGUCCGGAUUUAUUGGGCGGAAAGCGAGCGCAGGCGGUUAGAUAAGUCUGAAGUUAAAGGCAGUGGAUCUACAAUUGUAGGCUUUGGAAACUGUUUAACUUGAGUGCAGAAGGGGAGAGUGGAAUUCCAUGUGUAGCGGUGAAAUGCGUAGAUAUAUGGAGGAACACCGGUGGCGAAAGCGGCUCUCUGGUCUAUAACUGACGAUGAGGCUCGAAAGCGUGGGGAGCGAACAGG
rnacentral:rRNA from 1 species